CGCCGCGCCGUAGCGGCGGAUAAACAUACAGAGGACACGGAGAUUCGACACGUUGUUCGAAUUGACAAGUUGAAUCGACACUCGGCUGUGCUUUGUACGCUACUUGUAUAAGUGCCAAUCGCCUCGCCGUAACCGGAGAAUCGACACGUUUUCAAUGGAACAUCGAGCAGCGAGCGAUUCAGUGGUUACCGAUCUCCAGUUAUACAUACCAUGAAGUGCGCAGAGCUAUACGCACACGUCUGAUGCGACCUAGCUGUGUUUGGAGACACUUAUUCAUGAUUUUACAUUCAUGAUAUAUUUAUUUAAUUUUUAUUAUUUAAAUAUUAUUAGAGAAACGCGUAAUUAAAAGCUUUUUGCAGAACCACCAAUUUAUAUUAAUUGUAAAUGGAACUUAUCGGCAGUGUAUAUUUUCAAUUUAUCGGCAAGGCCUUUAUAAACGAAUGUGGUUACAAAUUUCAUAUAUAAUUAGCAUAUUUGAUCUAGUAAAUAUUCUUUUAAUUCACUGGUAAGUCAUGUUUCUGAACAUGUAUUCUCACACGUCCCCCGUGAUUGUUCGCGUAUGAUUUGUACGCCUGUGGGCCACUGUCAGACCAGGGCAUUUGCAGAAGAAUUUACUUUAGAUGUUCCUGAUUAUAUACUCGUUUUAAUAUUCAUUAGUACAUAUAUCACAAUUACGUAUAUUGAAGUCCACACGUGUGUGUAUUACCACAUGCUUUCACGAUUGAAAUACUUUACAAUAAAUAUAUAUAC